AUUGAACGCUGGCGGCAUGCCUUACACAUGCAAGUCGAACGGCAGCACGGGAGCAAUCCUGGUGGCGAGUGGCGAACGGGUGAGUAAUAUAUCGGAACGUGCCCAGUCGUGGGGAUAACGCAGCGAAAGCUGUGCUAAUACCGCAUACGAUCUACGGAUGAAAGCGGGGGAUCGCAAGACCUCGCGCGAUUGGAGCGGCCGAUAUCAGAUUAGCUAGUUGGUGGGGUAAAGGCCCACCAAGGCGACGAUCUGUAGCUGGUCUGAGAGGACGACCAGCCACACUGGAACUGAGACACGGUCCAGACUCCUACGGAGGCAGCAGUGGGGAAUUUUGGGACAAUGGGCGCAAGCCUGAUCCAGCAAUGCCGCGUGCAGGAUGAAGGCCUUCGG
rnacentral:rRNA from 1 species